AGUUCGUAUAUAUCAGGAAGAAUAGCGACAAUAGCAUCAUUGCCAAGGACGAGUUUCUGUUUGAGAUGAUCGAUGCAGAAUGUCUUGAAUCUUGCUUUAGCAACUGGACUGCCGUAUGAUGAUGCGCUUCUGCAGAUAAGUUCUAGUUUCCAUAAGGCUCACCUGAAAUUUUCCUUGUGAUUUCAAUAGCAUUGAAUUGUUGAAAAUUUAUUGCUUAUGUCAAUGCCUUUCUCUUUGCAACAUUGCUUUUCUCCCAUGCCUGUGGAACUGUUCCUGUACUUGUUUAACACUGCAAUAAUUUCCUUUCUGGUUUCUUCCAAGAAUUUUCACCAUUUGCUCUUUAUUUCCUUGUUGUAACAAGAAUACCCUUUUCUUUAUUUCAGGUACAUGCUGAGCUGCCUCUUCUGCCACUGCAAAAGCCCUUUCUAUAGCACAUUUUGAGUUCUCUAUGGUGGAUGAUAUUGUACUCUCAGUUGCAUCCUUAAUUUGCUUUUCAAUCAGAUGAGCUGCUUCAGCAGCAGUGGUUUCAACAGCAUCUUGUUUGGCAAGGACCAACUUAAAUUACAGAGAGAACUUCUCUUCAACGGAUUCCUCCAGAUUUUCCCGAAAAAGAUUUGGCAGACUCAAGCUCAGUGCAGUCAUUGUCCUGAUGCAUUUCCUCCAUAAUUUUGUAUAAUAGAUUCAAAAAGCAAUGGCAGCAGCUGUGAGUUCAUUGAUGAUUCUAGCAACAUCGAAUACCGGCAAUGACAUCGGCAUCCGUGGUGGAAUUUUCUGAGGCUUCCUAAUCAAAGAUGUGGAGGUGUCUUAAAGUGAUCAAUUUUGAUACAACUUUUGUAGAAAGCUCCAUUUUUUCAUUAGGUCUCAAUGUUAAUGUUUGUAACAAAACUGCUUAAGGAUUUGUAAAGACUUCCCAGUCCUUUACAGUU